rnacentral:rRNA from 1 species
GUAUCACCCAAGACAACUUUACGGAGUUGACGAUUGACGGAGCGAAGCGACGUCAAAGCGUUCAUUAAAGUCGAGUUGGCUUAGGGAUACGUUCGUUGGGUAGGGGAGCGUUCUGUAAGCCUGUGAAGGUGUGUCGUGAGGCAUGCUGGAGGUAUCAGAAGUGCGAAUGCUGACAUAAGUAACGAUAAAGCGGGUGAAAAGCCCGCUCGCCGGAAGACCAAGGGUUCCUGUCCAACGUUAAUCGGGGCAGGGUGAGUCGACCCCUAAGGCGAGGCCGAAAGGCGUAGUCGAUGGGAAACGGGUUAAUAUUCCCGUACUUGGUGUUACUGCGAAGGGGGGACGGAGAAGGCUAUGUUGGCCGGGCGACGGUUGUCCCGGUUUAAGCGUGUAGGCUGGUUUUCCAGGCAAAUCCGGAAAAUCAAGGCUGAGGCGUGACGACGAGGCACUACGGUGCUGAAGCAACAAAUGCCCUGCUUCCAGGAAAAGCCUCUAAGCAUCAGGUAACAUCAAAUCGUACCCCAAACCGACACAGGUGGUCAGGUAGAGAAUACCAAGGCGCUUGAGAGAACUCGGGUGAAGGAACUAGGCAAAAUGGUGCCGUAACUUCGGGAGAAGGCACGCUGACAUGUAGGUGAAGUGAUUUACUCAUGGAGCUGAAGUCAGUCGAAGAUACCAGCUGGCUGCAACUGUUUAUUAAAAACACAGCACUGUGCAAACACGAAAGUGGACGUAUACGGUGUGACGCCUGCCCGGUGCCGGAAGGUUAAUUGAUGGGGUCAGCGCAAGCGAAGCUCCUGAUCGAAGCCCCGGUAAACGGCGGCCGUAACUAUAACGGUCCUAAGGUAGCGAAAUUCCUUGUCGGGUAAGUUCCGACCUGCACGAAUGGCGUAAUGAUGGCCAGGCUGUCUCCACCCGAGACUCAGUGAAAUUGAACUCGCUGUGAAGAUGCAGUGUACCCGCGGCAAGACGGAAAGACCCCGUGAACCUUUACUAUAGCUUGACACUGAACAUUGAGCCUUGAUGUGUAG